rnacentral:rRNA from 1 species
CACACCGCCCGUCACACCAUGGGAGCUGGUUCUACCCGAAGGCGCUGCGCUAACCCGCAAGGGAGGCAGGCGACCACGGUAGGGUCAGCGACUGGGGUG